rnacentral:rRNA from 1 species
GAUGAACGCUGGCGGCGCGCUUAACACAUGCAAGUCGAACGAUGAAGCCCAGCUUGCUGGGUGGAUUAGUGGCGAACGGGUGAGUAACACGUGAGUAACCUGCCCUUAACUCUGGGAUAAGCCUGGGAAACUGGGUCUAAUACCGGAUAGGAGCGCCUACCGCAUGGUGGGUGUUGGAAAGAUUUAUCGGUUUUGGAUGGACUCGCGGCCUAUCAGCUUGUUGGUGAGGUAAUGGCUCACCAAGGCGACGACGGGUAGCCGGCCUGAGAGGGUGACCGGCCACACUGGGACUGAGACACGGCCCAGACUCCUACGGGAGGCAGCAGUGGGGAAUAUUGCACAAUGGGCGAAAGCCUGAUGCAGCGACGCCGCGUGAGGGAUGACGGCCUUCGGGUUGUAAACCUCUUUCAGUAGGGAAGAAGCGAAAGUGACGGUACCUGCAGAAGAAGCACCGGCUAACUACGUG